UCUUACGUCUGUCAGGAAGCCUGGCGAUGACUAUUCCGCUGCCUCCUCUGGCUGUGAUCAUGAAGCCUGCCUUGAUGACGGAGAUGAUGGCCAGACCCUCAGCCUUAGCUAUUACGUGAGCUACAACAAAAAAUAUGAUUAGAUGACUCUUCUUCAAGUCUCACAUCAUAAGACUUUCCAGGAAAUCUCUGCAGUGAGAGUCAGAGAGCUGUGACCAGUCUGCCGACAUGCCAAAAUGCACUCCUGCUGCAGCAGCAAAUUCCUGACACAUGACACAGCCUGAACAGCACAUCCAAAUGUGCCGCUGACCAACAACAUGCCAACAUGGCCAAGUGCUCCUGCAGCAUCGCCUAGACUCCAUCACAGCCUGCAGCACUGAUGGAGAAAACACUGACUCAGAGAAACCACCCAAUCCUCCAUUUUGAACGUGAAUCCAGUGGCUUCAGUUAGGCUCCACCCCAGCCAGCACUGAGGUGGAGUUAGUUAUAGCCAUCUUUCAGACAGAAUCUACCUGUGUAUGGAAGUUCUAGUGCUCUUUUUAGACAAUUCUAGUCAAUAAUGCAAGUUUAGAUUAGUGCUAAGGAGGUUGAAGCAUUCCUUCAUGUUCUAGUUGUUGGUCAGACGUUCUGGUAAUUAGACUGUGAUCAUCUACAUAGAAGUUUGACUCAUCUUUGGAGCAGUUAUACAGGAUUUUAAUUGCUUUUUUGGUUGGCUAAGGGUGUUCCUUAUGCCUGCAACAAUGUUCCUUUGGAGUUUAAGAUGGUACUGUUUGUUAAAGAGAUGUCUAAAUAGGUCACUAGGGAGGUUUCCAAAGUGGCUGCAUGUCAACUGAUGAUCUGUGAUUUCCCUGUGAUUUGCUCAUAAAAAUGUUGAAGGGGUAAUUUCAAGUCUUUUCAAGCCUUUCAAUGGUGGUAUUUUUAAAUAGCUAUAUCUAGAGAACUAUUUAACCUAUGUCAUUCAAAUUUUUAAUCCAAAUAUCUACUACUAUGACCUCAGGAAUAUGGCAUUUUGAAAAUGUAGCUGAAGUUCAACAUAAAAUACUGAGACAUUGGAUUAGUGUAAGGCUUACAGAAGGCUUAAAUUCCACCAUGUGUGUCAUGAACUAGAUCAUGUUAUAUAUAAAUUUAUCAUAUUUUCAUAAAGUUCUGCGUUACUUUUGAUA